CCUACGGGAGGCAGCAGUAGGGAAUAUUGCUCAAUGGGGGAAACCCUGAUGCAGCAACGCCGCGUGGAGGAUGAAGGUUUUCGGAUUGUAAACUCCUUUUGUUAGAGAAGAUAAUGACGGUAUCUAACGAAUAAGCACCGGCUAACUCCGUGCCAGCAGCCGCGGUAAUACGGAGGGGGCAAGCGUUAUUCGGAUUCACUGGGCGUAAAGAGCGCGUAGGCGGGAUAGCAAGUCAGAUGUGAAAUCCUAGGGCUUAACCAUAGAACUGCAUUUGAAACUGUUAUUCUAGAGUAUGGGAGAGGUAGGUGGAAUUCUUGGUGUAGGGGUAAAAUCCGUAGAGAUCAAGAGGAAUACUCAUUGCGAAGGCGACCUGCUAGAACAUAACUGACGCUGAUGCGCGAAAGCGUGGGGAGCAAACAGGAUUAGAUACCCGGGUAGUC
rnacentral:rRNA from 1 species